AUAAUUUUUAUUUAGUACGAAAGGACCAAUAAAUUUAUUUUUAAUAUUUCAUUUGGCAGAAUAAUGCGUUAGAUUUAGAAUCUAUCAAUUCUAAAAUUUCUCCAUUUAUCAAUUCUUUAAUUUCAAUAAUUUGCAUUUUAGUAGCAGUAGCAUUUUAUACUAUUUUAGAACGUAAGGUAUUAGGAUAUAUUCAAAUUCGCAAAGGACCUAACAAAGUAGGUUUUAUAGGAAUUUUACAGCCUUUUGCUGAUGCUAUUAAACUUUUUAAUAAAUCUCUUUCCUCAUCAGACUCAUCUAAUUUUUCAAUCUCAUUUUUAACUCCAAGAAUUAGUUUAUUUUUGGCUUUAAUUCUUAUCCCGUUAAUCCCUUUUAAUGAUUUUCAAAUUUUAGAUAAUAAACAUAAUUUAUUAACUUUCUUUAUUAUUUCAAGCUUAAGAGUAUACUCUAUCCUUAUCAUUGGCUGAGCCUCAAAUUCAAAAUAUGGCCAAAUUGG
rnacentral:rRNA from 1 species